ACAUUGUGGAGAGGGAGGCGGGCAGCUCCACCCCUGAUCGGCCAUUCUUCAUUCCCUAGAAUGGGCUUGCCUUCCCAGCCCCAGCUGUGCACUGAAUUAAUCGACACGGGGAGCUUCUCUCUCUACACCGUUUCCACAUGCUCAUCAAGGUCCCGCACCACUUCUGACAAAAGCAAAUGUGGCUCUUCUGACUCGGGAUUUGGGAGACUUUACUCAGGCCUUAAAUGUAAACAUACACCAAACACACACACACACACACACACAGCUUUAAUUGCAUAUUAUGAAGACAGUCAACAGUUAACGCCGAAUCUUCGGAAAACUGAAUAAGACGAUAACAAACAAGAGCGGUUCUGCAGAAAGGUCCGUCUCAGGAAAUGAGUAUGACUUCACUUCUCCAGAAAUGGUUCUUCCAAACAAAGUGGGUGAGAAUAAUUUAGUCAGCAACUAGCCCGAGAAGGGAUGCUAAUCCUUUUCAUUGCCAGCUUCUAGGAGCACACGGGUCAGCCAGGUCCAAGGUCAUCAGCUACUGUUUCCUGCCAGCAAAGCUAAGUCACUAAAAGUUAACUUUCAGGUUUUCCUACUGAUUUCCAUAAGCUUGUAAUAGUAGGCCAUGAAGUUAUCAAACCUUCAUCUGUGAAAAACUUAUCUAAAGUGGUUGAAAAAAUAGGAGAUGCACUUGAAAACAUCAGGUUGGGUGUAUUGAAAUAAAAUAAGAAUUACAUAAAGAAAUGAAAAG
rnacentral:lncRNA from 1 species